GUCUGCGGCCAUGCCACCCCCAAUCUUGUCUGAUCUCGGAAGCUAAGCAGGGGCGGGCCUGGUUAGUACUUAGAUGAGAGACCACCCAGGAAUACCAGAUGCUUUAGGUG
rnacentral:rRNA from 1 species